GGGCAACCUGUAUGGGGUGGAAGCCCGGGCAGAAGUUACAAGGCAAACUAUGGAAUUUUGAUCCUAGGUCCCCUGCAGGAAGACCUCCCAGGAACCACAAAAGCCCCCAUAAGAGAGAGUUCCAACAAUCAGGCAUCUUCCACACCAAAAGCCCAGAUCACAAUUUGACCAGCCAAGUACAACUGUGUCCAUUUCUCCAGCAAUGUCAAGGAAGGCCCCAGCCCCUGAGCCGCUGUCAGUAAUGGGGUCACCAUCCACAGAAUGAACCCCCUCCAGUGUGUCAUUCAGGAUCUCACCAGACCCUACAGGAAGCAGGCAUUCUGCUAUCAAUAACUACAUUUUGCAGUCUUGGAAAAGAAUGAGGUAUCUCUUCACCAGCUAACUUGGAAAGAUGUUCAGAUACCAUGACACAGGGUCAAGAGGGGGAAAAAACAAGUUGCAGAACAACAUACAUGGCAAAGCAU
rnacentral:lncRNA from 10 species